ensembl:snoRNA small nucleolar RNA SNORD74
AAUGUCUGAAAUGAUGAUAUAUGUUGGUAGGGACAUCUGAAACACUUGAGGAAACGCCAACUUUACUGACUAGACAUG